GCAGCGGAUCCCUCCGGGGAUGCCGGCGACCGGCGAACGGGUGAGUAACACGUAUGGAACCUACCCUUAACUGGGGAAUAGCCUUGAGAAAUCGAGGGUAAUACCCCAUAUCAUCUGAAAGAGGCAUCUCUUUCAGAUGAAAGCUCCGGCGGUUAAGGAUGGCCAUGCGGUCCAUUAGCUUGUUGGUGAGAUAACCGCUCACCAAGGCUACGAUGGAUAGCUGAUCUGAGAGGAUGAUCAGCCACAUUGGCACUGAGACACGGGCCAAACUCCUACGGGAGGCAGCAGUAGGGAAUCUUGGUCAAUUGGCGAAAGCCAGAACCAGUCAUGCCGCGUGCAGGAUGAAGGCCCUACGGGUCGUAAACUGCUUUUAUUCGGGAAGAAAAAGUCUGUUUCCACAGAUCUUGACGGUACCGAUUGAAUAAGGACCGGCCAACUCCGUGCCAGCAGCCGCGGUAAUACGGAGGGUCCAAGCGUUAUCCGGAUUCACUGGGUUUAAAGGGUGCGCAGGCGGCCAAGUAAGUCAGUGGUGAAAGCCUUCGGCUCAACCGGAGAAUUGCCAUUGAAACUACUUGGCUUGAGUGCAGCAGAGGUAGGCGGAAUGUAGCAUGUAGCGGUGAAAUGCAUAGAUAUGCUACAGAACACCGAUAGCGAAAGCAGCUUACCACACUGUAACUGACGCUGAGGCACGAAAGCAUGGGUAGCAAACAGGAUUAGA
rnacentral:rRNA from 1 species